ACUUUUGAAAUGAGUUCUGAAACAAAUUAUUAUUUAAUUAAAUGGAACUAUACAUUUAAGAAAUAAGUGGUAUAGUGAUUAAGCAAAAGUAGAACAAUUGAGGGAAACUACCAAAAAGAUUAUUAUUGGAAGAGCUAAAAUAAUCUGUAAGUAUUAUCUCAGAAAUAAACAAAUUUCAUUUAAGUGUAUGAUACUGAGGUAAGUUUCAUAUAGUAUAGCCUCAUUUUAUGAUACAUUUAAAAAAUUUCAUCAGAUGAACUGUUUCAGAAAUUAGAAUUUGCCCAUUUAAAUAGCUUACAGUUUCUGUCCUCUUUCUGCCAUUUCUUUUUUCUUCUCUUUGUAAUUUCAAUGUAUUCAGUAUUGGCUUGGCCUCCAUUCCAUUUUGAUAUAGACUGGCACCACAGCUGAAUAUAUUGAUUUCUCAUGCAUUAGCUUUUCUUUCAUAAUCCUCUGUCAGUUCUCUGAUCCAUGAGCGAGAGAAAAAGAGUAUAACAGGUAAGAUUGCUUUUUUAAAGUUGUUUUAAAUGCUUUACAUGACUGAG
rnacentral:lncRNA from 1 species